rnacentral:rRNA from 1 species
UGUUUAAUUUUUUUUUUAAAUAAAGCCUGCUCAAUGAAAAUUAAAUAGCCGCAGAAUUUUAACUGUGCUAAGGUAGCAUAAUCAUUAGAUUUUUAAUUAAAAUCUAGAAUGAAAGGUUUAACUUUUAUUUACUUUAUUAAAUUCACUUAAUUUAAAUUAUAUUAAAAAUAAAAAUAUUUUUAUACCCUAAUAGACGACAAGACCCUAUUGAACUUAACUUUAGUUAAGCUGGGGCAGCUAGUUAAAAACAAUUUUAAUUUUAUUAAUAUAAUAAAAACCUAAUAUUAUUAAAUAAAUAAGUUACCAUAGGGAUAACAGCGUAAUUUUUUAUAAAAGUUCUUAUUAAAUAUAAAGAUUGMGACCUCGAUGUUGAAUUAUUUACCUAKUAAGAGCAAAAUCUUAAAAAGGGAGUCUGUUCGACUUUUAAAUAUUUACA